rnacentral:rRNA from 1 species
UACGAAGGGUGCAAGCGUUGUUCGGAAUUACUGGGCGUAAAGGGUUCGUAGGCGGAGAGACAAGUCAAGUGUGAAAUCCCCAGGCUUAACCUGGGACGUGCAUUUGAAACUGUAUUUCUUGAGUAUCAGAGAGGGUGGUGGAAUUGCUGGUGUAGGAGUGACAUCCGUAGAGAUCAGCAGGAACACCGGAGGCGAAGGCGACCACCUGGCUGAAGACUGACGCUGAGGAACGAAAGCGUGGGGAGCAAACAGG